UACGGGGGGGGCAAGCGUUGUUCGGAAUUACUGGGCGUAAAGGGUUCGUAGGUGGCUUGCUAAGUCAGACGUGAAAUCCCUCAGCUUAACUGGGGAACUGCGUCUGAGACUGGCAAGCUUGAGUGCAGGAGAGGAACGCGGAAUUCCAGGUGUAGCGGUGAAAUGCGUAGAUAUCGGGAAGAACACCCGUGGCGAAGGCGGCCCCCUGGGCCGAACCUGACGCUGAGGCGCGAAGGCUAGGGGAGCGAACGGG
rnacentral:rRNA from 1 species